rnacentral:tRNA from 1 species
GGGAAUGUGGCUUAGUGGUAGAGUACAUGCCUAGCAUGUAUGAAGCCCUGGGUUCGAUUCCUCAGUACCA